UACAGCCAUAUUACACUGAAACACCGGUUUCCGUACGAUCACCGAAGUUAAGCAACGUCGGGCCUGGUCAGUACCUAGAUAGGUGACCACUUGGGAAUACCAGGUAACGUA